UACGUAGGUGGCAAGCGUUUGUCCGGAUUUACUGGGCGUAAAGCGCGCGCAGGCGGUUCGUUAAGUCCGGUGUGAAAGCCCCCGGCUCAACUGGGGAGGGUCACGCGAUACUGAUCGACUCGAAGGCAGGAGAGGGUAGUGGAAUUCCCGGUGUAGUGGUGAAAUGCGUAGAUAUCGGGAGGAACACCAGUGGCGAAGGCGACUACCUGGCCUGUUCUUGACGCUGAGGCGCGAAAGCUAGGGGAGCAAACGGGG
rnacentral:rRNA from 1 species